rnacentral:tRNA from 1 species
GCGGCAUGGCCGAGUGGUAAGGCGGGGGACUGCAAAUCCUUUUUCCCCAGUUCAAAUCCGGGUGUCGC